rnacentral:rRNA from 1 species
AUAUAGGACAACCGGGGCAACCCUGAUCCAGCCAUGCCGCGCGUUUUAAGAACGCCUCUGGAUUGUCAAGCACUUUCAGGUUGGGGUACGGGCUUUCGGCUAAUACCCUGAAGUUUUGCUGCUACCAUCUGAGGUAGCACUGGCUAACUUGGUUCCACCAGCCGCGGUAAUACAGCGGGUGCAAGCGUUAAUCGGAAUUACUGGGCGUCAAGGGUGCGUAGGUGGUACAGUAAGAUGGGUGGAAAAUCCCAGGGCUUAACCUGGGAACUGCUUUCAUAACUGCUGAGCUAGAGUACGGUAGAGGGUAGUGGAAUUUCCUGUGUAGCGGUAAAAUGCGUAGAUAUAGGAAGGAACACCAGGGGCGAAGGCGACUACCUGGACUGAUACUGAAACUGAGGUGCGAAAGAGUGGGGAGCAAAC